GACGAACGCUGGCGGCGUGCUUAACACAUGCAAGUCGAACGGAAAGGCCCUGCUUGCAGGGUGCUCGAGUGGCGAACGGGUGAGUAACACGUGGGUGAUCUGCCCCUUACUUUGGGAUAAGCCUGGGAAACUGGGUCUAAUACUGGAUAGGACCAUGCUGUAGGUGGUGUGGUGGAAAGAUUAGUUUCGGUAAGGGAUGAGCUCGCGGCCUAUCAGCUUGUUGGUGGGGUAAUGGCCUACCAAGGCGUCGACGGGUAGCCGGCCUGAGAGGGUGGACGGCCACAUUGGGACUGAGAUACGGCCCAGACUCCUACGGGAGGCAGCGGUGGGGAAUAUUGCACAAUGGGCGCAAGCCUGAUGCAGCGACGCCGCGUGGGGGAUGACGGCCUUCGGGUUGUAAACUCCUUUCAGCCAUGACGAAGCCCUUGUGGUGACGGUAGUGGUAGAAGAAGCACCGGCUAACUACGUG
rnacentral:rRNA from 1 species